rnacentral:lncRNA from 1 species
CCUGACCUUGUGAUCCGCCUGCCUCGGCCUCCCAAAGUGCUGGGAUUACAGGCGUGAGCCACCGCGCCCGGCUGAACCCAGCUAAACAGUUUUGCUGCUGACAGAGGUAUCCAUGCUCAGCACCGUUGAUGGAAAUUUUUGGAGAAAAGCUUUGAGAAGCCCAUCCUCCAGGGCUGCUCACACAGGCAGCCUAAGCAAGUUCCAUAAAGGAAGGAAUGAAAUGGUAGUCAUGCCUCCCCUGCUCUUGGUUUAGGCAGGAGUGGUGGUGACAGGAAAAUGACCAGGAAGUGGUACUAAGGUGCAACAACAAAGCCAAAGGCAAUGCUUUUCCUUUUUUAACAGCCAUAGUUCUGCCCUGAGGCUUCAUAGGCUAGCAGGCCAAGGGCUGCCCACACAGGGGUAAGUGGGCGGAUGGCCUGGCUCUGGGACAUUAGCCCCUGGCUUUCAUGGAGGUGUGUGCUGAGGUGUGGAAAUGGUGGCUGCCCUUUUCCCCUACUGAGCUAGACCGCACCAGGCCACCCCACCCACUAGUGACAGUCUUGGUUACAAAGUCCUAAACACAAUCUGCCCAACGGGGCCCAUCCAUCUGAGAAAUCACAAUUUAGAGGAGGUGUUCCUCUGCACUGUGUUACAGGAGACACGGCAACCACAAGGUUAAAAUCAGAAGCAAACAGGGGGCCAGUGUUUCUCCACAUGAGCACCUCAGGAUUCUCUCUCUUCUGGAGAUUGUCAACUGAGAGAAGAUUCCUGGGUGCCUUUCUCACGGGCCAAAGGAUGGCUUUGGAGACAACUUACCCUGUUCACUGGGCAGACUCUGCUUCUUCUGUGUUCCCACUCUGGGCCCCACCCCACUGGAGAAUCCUAAUGCCUGGAUGUGCCUGCAGAGAACACAGCCAGCUGUCAGUGCUGUCAUGGCUCAGGACCUCGCCAGGCUGCUCGACUCUCUCACUCUCCAGGGAGGCUGAAGCCACGCCUGAAAGAUGGGCCUGCUGGAAACCUACUCGCCUGAAAACCACGGCCAGCUAUGGGCCUGGAAGUGACUCUGGAGAAAGAAUACUCCCUAACGGCUAGGCGUGGUAGCUCACGCCUGUAAUCCCAGCACUUUGGGAGGCUGAGGCAGGCGGAUCAUGAGGUCAGGAG